rnacentral:rRNA from 1 species
CCCUAGUAUAAAUUUUGCAAAAGAUUAGUAGUUUAUGAAAAUCAAUGAAUUUUUGGCAGUUAAUUAUAUUAUUAGAGGAGCUUGUUUUGUGUAAUAGAAUUUACUCUUUAAAUUUUUAUAUUUCUUAGUUUAUUCAUCUCUGUCAUUAAAUGGAAAUUGAUUAUAAUUUCUUAUUAUUUUAGGUCAAGAUGUAGCAAUGAAAUAUUUAAAAUUAGCUACAAUUAUGUAAUAUAUAAGUUAUAUAGGUUGAAAACUAUAUCUUAUUUGAAUUUAGUCGUAAUUAUUAUUAGAAUGUUAUUGUGAUUAUGAAUAAUUAGUGU